GCCCCGCUAGCUCAGUUGGUAGAGCAAUCGGCUGUUAACCGAUCGGUCGUAGGUUCGAGUCCUACGCUGGGCGCCA
rnacentral:tRNA from 1 species